UCGUUAACGAACGAGACCUCGACCUGCUAAAUAGUUUGAAUAAUUCUUUUGAAUUUUUCUUUUUAAAACUUCUUAGAGGGACUAUCGGUGUGUAGCCGAUGGAAGUUCGAGGCAAUAACAGGUCUGUGAUGCCCUUAGAUGUUCUGGGCCGCACGCGCGCUACACUGGCAGGUUCAUCGAGCUUACAACCUUGACCGAUAGGUCUGGGCAAUCUUCUCAACGCCUGCCGUGCUGGGGAUAGAUUAUUGUAAUUAUUAAUCUUCAACGAGGAAUUCCUAGUAAACGCAAGUCAUCAACUUGCAUUGAUUACGUCCCUGCCCUUUGUACACACCGCCCGUCGCUAAUACCGAUUGAAUGGAUG
rnacentral:rRNA from 1 species